UACGUAGGGUGCGAGCGUUGUCCGGAAUUACUGGGCGUAAAGAGCUCGUAGGUGGUUUGUCGCGUUGUCCGUGAAAACUCACAACUCAAUUGUGGGCGUGCGGGCGAUACGGGCAGACUGGAGUACUGCAGGGGAGACUGGAAUUCCUGGUGUAGCGGUGGAAUGCGCAGAUAUCAGGAGGAACACCGGUGGCGAAGGCGGGUCUCUGGGCAGUAACUGACGCUGAGGCGCGAAAGCCAGGGGAGCAAACGGG
rnacentral:rRNA from 1 species